rnacentral:rRNA from 1 species
CCUACGGGAGGCAGCAGUGAGGAAUAUUGGUCAAUGGACGAGAGUCUGAACCAGCCAAGUAGCGUGAAGAAUGACUGCCCUAUGGGUUGUAAACUUCUUUUAUAUGGGAAUAAAAUGUUCCACGUGUGGGAUUUUGUAUGUACCAUAUGAAUAAGGAUCGGCUAACUCCGUGCCAGCAGCCGCGGUAAUCCGGAGGAUCCGAGCGUUAUCCGGAUUUAUUGGGUUUAAAGGGAGCGUAGGUGGAUUGUUAAGUCAGUUGUGAAAGUUUUCGGCUCAACCGUAAAAUUGAAGUUGAAACUGGCAGUCUUGAGUACAGUAGAGGUGGGCGGAAUUCGUGGUGUAGCGGUGAAAUGCUUAGAUAUCACGAAGAACUCCGAUUGCGAAGGCAGUUCACUGGACUGCAACUGACACUGAGGCUCGAAAGUGUGGGUAUCAAACAGGAUUAGAUACCCGGGUAGUC